GGCCGUGUGGUGUAAUGGGUAACACGCCAUGUUAUAAUUCCUCCCUGGUAAAUUACUACAUGGAGUCCUAUGUUCGAUUCAUAGCUAGGCCA